AAAAACCUGGGGGUGUGGUGUUUCAUUCUGUCAUUCUGUUGUAACUGAGCAGUUCAAAGCGGUCUAUCUCCUCAGAGGUCGAAACUAGGGAUAAAGAAGCUGUACUAAACAUUUCACAUAUAUUAUCGACAAUAGGAGGAAGUUUAUAUGGGAAGUCGCUGUGUCAAGUCGUGACAAUGACAUGUGACAUCUUUGUCAAAGGACACUAGAACCUCUGUCACUGAAGGAGUGAUUAGCAAAAUAUUGUUCACCAGUCGUUUUUCUUUUUUUUUUUUUUUCAAAGCAAAAACACCAAACGUAUUUGGUUAUUAAAUACCUUUGGACCUCUAGUGAACCUGUGGAAUUUUGGACCCUUCUUCCCCUCAAGAUCAAGUCUGGGCGAGUCUAGAUGUGUGAGCAAGAACUACAAGCAGUUAAAGUUGAAGAUGCUUUACUUGAACAGCCCGAGUCGAGGGCUGACUCGCACAGGAUCACCUGUCAUGACAUCUGUAAGGACCCAGACCAUCGCAAACUAGCCAUUUGCAGCAUCAUAUGUGGCCUUUCCUGUCUUGGAAUUAUGUCCCUUAUGUACUCUGUCAAGGCUAGAGAAACAAGAAAAAGACUUCAAAAUGAAAAUACACAAGAAACACAGCAGAUGGUUCAGAACUACUCUGAAAAGGCAUGUAAAUGGGGAAUUGGGUCCAUUGUAGCCUGGGUGGGUUUAAUUCUCAUCUUUCCAUUGCUGCUGGGAUUUCUGUCCUAUGUUGUAACCUUCAUAGACUGACACUGCAAAACCGUUUCUACAAUUAAAUGAGCGACCAGAGCAUCUAGACCACCAAAAAUGUAACCUGAUAACAAAAGGUUGGUCAGUAAUGGUCAUUUUUUUAGUCUACUAACUUGCUACUUAUAAUAUAAGAGUAUUCAUAAUGUACUAGUACAUAAUUUGUAUGCCUUUCGGUAGUAACAAAACAUACUGGAAUUUAUUAUUAAACUAAUUAAAUCGCUGCAAUUACAGCAGUGCAGCCAGUUAAAAUGGUACAGCAACAGGAUUUGUUACAGAUGGAGAUGGAGCCAUACAUAAAACCAUCAGCACUGUCCAGAGAAGAGCUACUUUUACACUUCAGCAAGCUGAUUUUAUUUAUUCUCUUAAUGCAAAUUGGAGAUGAAACAUUGAGACACUCACAGAGAGCAGGACAUUCCAAUGUUGAGAUAUGGAUGUGGUUACAUUAUUAAUAUUGUGUUCUUGUAAAUAACUUGUACUGUUUCAAUACCUUGUGCUUUUGAUGUUUUGUACACUGCAUGUAUUUCAGACUUUGUAAUAAAAUGCGUAACAGUCAAAAUGCACCUG